UCGAUUUCCAGUCUACAGUAGACAGGCUGCUCGAAAAACCAAUAUAUACUGGUUUUCUCAUGGCGCGGCUCAUAUAAAACAUUUUUUUUUUCAGAAUAAACCCGUAGUAAAUUUUACCAUAUUUGGAACAGUCUACAUCGCCAGUCAAUACACUAUAUCGUAAAUCGAGUCAUUCAAUUUGAUAACGGUUACAUAGUAACACCUCCAAAUAAGGAAAUCCGAUAUCACGGUUCAUACAUAUUCGGGCAUGCGUAGUCAGUGUGUAAACCAAGCUUGCAACAGCUGAAAAACUUGGACAUGUGUUUUGGAUAUAUUAACCUCAAAUAUCAGGCUGUAUAAUUGUAACAGCAUCAUUGAUAAAAGUAUAACUGACACAGUGGCACGCACGGGGAUUGUAGGAAUAUGUGAUAUUGUACAGCAUCGAAAAACAGCAGCAACAACAACAAGUCUUGAUAUGCAGAGAAAAUAAGAUUCUGCAAUGGCGCUGUUGUCUGUCGUUUCUAUUCUGAGAUAUCUGUCAGUUUCAACACGAAGUUUAUGAGAUGCAAGCCUUAAUCGCGCCAAAGCAACACAAUAUUUGCUGGGUAAUACACUUAAAUAACAUUCAAAUUCAAAAGAUGUCUUAAAGUUCCUAUACAGGUACAAAGAACCAGUAUUAUUAGAAACAUCAUUGUUCCAAUUCUAUACAAAAGCAUCAUACACUCUCUGCUUAAAAAUAUUUGGAAACAUUUUCAGGUUCGUGGAAUAUGGAUUGUUCCAUACAUAAGAAAAACCAAAAUUGUCUAGUAGCAUUUUUAUAUCACUGGCCCAGUUUCUACCAUUGACCCGACCAAUCAUAUUAUAUAAUUCUUUGUACAAGGUACUAAUAAUAAUAUUAUUACAACUGAUUAUUUUACACCAAAACUUUAUCAUUCUUACAUACCUAUUUAUGUAAAGGGGGUAUCUGCCUAGCUCCCCAUAUACUGCCAUAUUACAGGUUGACUUUUUUUACAUGCAUUAACUGCUUGCAGAAUUUUAAAUGUACUCUUUCUAACUCUUUAGAUUUUGUAAGCCCCCACACUUCACACGAGUAACUCAAAGUUGACCCUACAAAGGCAUCAAAAAGUUGGCACAUGGUCUUUGGUUUCAGUUGGAAUUGUUUAAUCUUUGACAUUAGUACAUUCAGAGCUUUCAAACCUUUGCCAGCUAAGUACUCUUG
rnacentral:lncRNA from 1 species